GAUGAAGAACGUAGCGAAAUGCGAUAAGUAGUGUGAAUUGCAGAAUUCAGUGAAUCAUCGAAUCUUUGAACGCACAUUGCGCCCCUUGGUAUUCCAUGGGGCAUGCCUGUUCGAGCGUCAUUUGUACCUUCAAGCUCUGCUUGGUGUUGGGUGUUUGUCUCGCCUUGCGCGUAGACUCGCCUUAAAACAAUUGGCAGCCGGCGUAUUGAUUUCGGAGCGCAGUACAUCUCGCGCUUUGCACUCAUAACGACGACGUCCAAAAGUACUUUUUACACUCUUGACCUCGGAUCAGGUAGGGAUACCCGCUGAACUUAAGCAUAUCAAUAACGGAGGA
rnacentral:misc_RNA from 1 species